rnacentral:rRNA from 1 species
UUGAACGCUGGCGGAAUGCUUUACACAUGCAAGUCGAGCGGCAGCGCGGGGGCAACUCUGGCGGCGAGCGGCGAACGGGUGAGUAACACAUCGGAACGUGUCCAGUAAUGGGGGAUAACCUGGCGAAAGCCAGGCUAAUACCGCAUACGUCCUGAGGGAGAAAGCGGGGGACCGUAAGGCCUCGCGCGAUGAGAGCGGCCGAUAUCUGAUUAGCUAGUUGGUGGGGUAAAGGCUCACCAAGGCGACGAUCAGUAGCUGGUCUGAGAGGACGACCAGCCACACUGGGACUGAGACACGGCCCAGACUCCUACGGGAGGCAGCAGUGGGGAAUUUUGGACAAUGGGGGCAACCCUGAUCCAGCCAUUCCGCGUGAGUGAAGAAGGACUUCGGGUUGUAAAGCUCUUUCGGUGGGAACGAAACGGCACAGGCGAAUAACCUGUGCUAAUGACGGUACCCAAAGAAGAAGCACCGGCUAACUACGU